UGCCUCAGAGACAAUGAGACGUGAGC
rnacentral:piRNA from 2 species